ACACACAAAUCCAUGUUUGGGUGCUUUCCCUCGGAUGAAACUGCGGUGACUCCGAGUGGACGGAGGACGUGGACCACAGGGGGAGGGCAUCCAUGCCCCUCGCUGCCCGUCUUCAUCACUCCCAGGUCACUUCCAGAGGGUUCUUCAAGGGCAGGAGGCAGUUGCCGCUCUGUUUCCUAUUUUCAGGGGACUUUUCGCUUUCCCCUCUGCUGCCGCGCAGUCGAUACACUAGCCUCUUUAUCUGCGCACCCUAGAAGCCAGUGCAGGGGAGGCUCCCUUGUGUUCACCCUCUAGAGACAGGCUUUGAAAUCUGUGACCGUGAGGCCUCGGGCGCCCAGUUUACAUGAGCACGUGACCCCCAAGGCUCAGACAAACCAGCCGUGGAGCAGACGUGCUGCUGAGGCCACGGGGACAGGGAGCCGCUGUCCAGAGCUGCGUGGAGCGUGAAUGGCAGGGAGUGGUGGGUCGGGCAGGGAGGGUUGAGCGUGAACCCUCCAGGCGGCAGAGGAAGCAGGCUGCCACCACCGAGCCCCGCUCCAAGGAUGGCUUUUGGAAGAGCACGUGCAGAGGCCGGGCUCCAGCUUGGGGGUUUCUGGCCCAAGAUGCUGUGGCGCUGCCGACAGAAUGAUGGAGGUGGGCUUGGGCCCGGCAGAGGGCCGAGAGGCAGGGUCUCCCAUCGGUACAGCCCAGACUAGAGGCGUCGGGAGGUAUUUUGACAGUUUUUCCCUCCCUUCGCCUCGCCUCGCCUCCUGUGCCCCGAGUUGGAGCGGGGCCACGGGCUUGGCGUGCUCCUCGGCUGCUCACACACGCAGCACAAUCCGUGGGCUCAACUCCGUUUUCUGUGGACGGAGGGAAGUCAGGCUGUGGACACCCGGGGGGUCUCUGCAGGAGCCUCCGAGCCAGGCUUGUGGUUUCAGGACCUCAGGAAGCCGCUGUCCUCUGGAGAGACACACACACACACACAGAUAGGCCGCCUGUCUCACAGAUCCCCACAUCUCUUAUCCUUACUCACAGACCAACUAGCAUUUGACUCCAAGGAAGAAAACAGACAUUUCUUCUGGACACGAUUUAACCACGUAUGUGUGAAGAUUCUGGAGAGUUAGGUAGGAAAAUGAGAAAACACAUUACAAAGAAGCAGGGAGUGCAUGCUUGAGUGAGCAGAUUGAAAUGCAGAGACCACCUUCAGAUCUGAGUUCACAGGUCACCUCUUCCAGGAAGCCCUCCCUGAUCUCUCCAGGGCCUGCUGAGCUCUUCCUCCUGUGUGCUCCCCACAAGCCCUGCACCGAAGGUGACAUUGCUGGGCUGUGACCCCCUUUGCAUUGUCUCCGUCCCUGGCCAGACUCCAGCAGAGGGCCUGGAGAACAGGCCGUGCCCGUCCCAGUGGGCACACAGUAAAUACCUGUUGUCACAGAACAUCGGCUCCGUGAAAACAGACCCGUCUGGGGGCGAGGCUGAGGUGGGGGCCUCCGAGUCAGGAAACGAAGGGCUUUGUUUUCCCUACAAGGAAGGUGGGUGCCCCGGCAGCCCCCGGCCACAUCCCAGCCUUCCUGUUCUCGUCCCCCUUAUCUUGAUGGAGACAGUAAUUUGUUUCCCAUCUUCUAUAGGAGCAGAGCCGGUGGCAGCCCGUGGAGUAGACCUGUGUGGGGGCAGAGGUUUUCUGAUUACAGUCCAUUAAGGCUGAGCUGUGAUUUCUAAAGCGCUUUUCAUUUGCAGCAGGAGCCAAACCCCUGCCCAGUUUCCUCUCACCGACUAAGCAGUGCGCUACUCUAUGAAAAUGAAUUUUUUAAUUAUGUUAGUUUAAGGAGAAGCCUAACUGAACAUGUGUGUUGAGCGAAACAGAAUACUCCAGUUGGCACAGCAAGAAAGAGGGCUUUGGAGAGAGACCAGCAGGGUCCCACGUUGGAGCCUGACAUCUUAACAGUAUCCAAAAAGCCUGGCUCCUUCGCGGCCGUUUCAGUGGCAGGACAACUCCUGAGCCCGGACCACCUGUCCGCUCCUCAUUUCCAAGUCGCUGCCGAUGCUGCUCCUGGCGGGAUACAGCUUGACCGUCAUAACUGCAGGACGUCAUCUGCUCCAGUCCCCUGGAUGUGACGGCACGGAGCUGGUGGCUGCUCCCUGCCUGAUGCCCCGAGACCCGGUCCCAGCUCCUCCUCUGCGCGGGGCCCUAUAACGUCCAGAGAUGGUUCUGUGUGCCGUCAAAAUAGGACGGAGUUGCCUUCUGUCCCCGUUUUCCAGUUCAGUUGUACCUGGGUGGUCCAAGCCUCCCUUCUGUCUCCACUAAUUCCCCAGGGGUGCUCGCUGUCAAGAAAAAUAUCAUGCGUGUUUGUAGUUGAGCAAGCCUUUUUUUUUAAGGUACCAGCACUCGUAUCUUAGUGAGCGGGACAUGUCACUGCAGUUUCUCCUUCCAGCAGGCCUUCCUCUGCUCCGCUCCAGUGCCUUUAGGUCCCCGCCCGGCAGUGCCCCGUUACCCCUUUCGCUCACUGUGUGGCAUUAGCCUUCUAGAUGAUGCUGGUACCCAGUGCCAGUGAAGCUGAGUAGCCCCAGGCAAGUUAAUUCAUCAUCCCGGUAUGCACGCUGCAAGGCCUUAACCAGGAUGCCUGACAGAGAAAACAGCCCCAAAUAGAACCUUCCCAUGGCCACUGGGAACUGUGCUCCCCGUGUCCCCCAUCUGUGGAGAAGACCUCAGGGUCUGCCACUCCCAAGCCUCCGACCACCUGCCCCCUUGGUGGUCCCGUGUCCCCCGUGACCCACUCUCCCUGGAGACGGCUGCACUGGGGGGAAAGCCCUUCCCCGUCUGACCUCACCAUCCUGUCCUUGCCACAGCCCUGCCACAGCCUCCACGCUGUCCCAGAAACACGCUGAACGGCUCUUGGGCUCUUCACAGGAUCGGCAGAGUUGGGUCAUGGCCUCCAGCUCACCUUUGGGGCGGGCAGCCUUCCCCAAGCAGAGCAGUCAGUCCCAAUUUUUGGUUCUCUGAACAGCAGCAGCAGCGCUGUGUCCUGCCUCUCGGGCGCCCGAGCGCAGGGCUGUGUCGUGUUGGCCACUGUUUCUCUACAUCCAGGGUCAUACCUGGCAGGUGGUCGUCACCAUCUGUUUGCCACCAGAUUCAACCAGUAGCAGCUGCUGCUUUUACUACUGAAAUCAGAGUGUGUGUCCAUGAACUCAGGGGUAUGUGCACAGCAGAGACGGGGUUAAAAUGGACGGGGGGCAACAGCCCUCCUGCUACCCUGCGCCACUGGGAAUAAGCGAGUUAAGAUGUUGAGUCCCCUGCUCUCCCUGACAUGAGGGCCGGUCCCUUGAGGCCCUGGUGACAUGGGGAGCUCUGCAGUGGCUUCAGUUCUGUCAAGCAGGGAGCUGCCACCUGCUGGGGAGUGUCCUUCCACCUCAGACCCAAGCCCCUCACCCACUAGCCCAGCUGGUGGAAACAGAGCCAAAGCCCAGGCCAGAAGCCCUACGGGACAGUGCCCUCGGUGAAUGCGACCUUUGUUGUGGCGGAGUUGGCACCGCGGGGGGCGGGGCGUGGGCAGGAGCCACAGGUGCUCCGCGCUGCAGGAAGCCGGAUGCCCUCGUGCCAGGCCUCCAGCCCCCGCGGUGAGGACGGGGGAUCUGGAGAGGUUCAGCUCCCUGCCCAUCUCCACCUCCCUCUCGGAGCAGAGGGCAGCGCAGAUGCGCGGGGGGCCCAAGGGAGCCCCGCGCGGGUCGGCAGCUGCCGGUCAGCGGGACGAUGGCUCUGUCAACCUCUGCUGACAGCGUGUCUUGCUCCCCACUCUCCCUCAAACCUCUGCAGGAGCAAUUCUUCUGGGAGGAAUCCUCUACUCCUGGCAGUUUCCCCAUUUCAACGCCCUGAGCUGGGGCCUCCGCGAAGACUACUCCCGGGGCGGCUACUGCAUGAUGUCGGUCACCCACCCGGCGCUGUGCCGCCGUGUCGCCCUGCGCCACUGCCUGGCUUUGAUCGCACUCUCCGCCGCGGCCCCUGCCCUGGAUGUCACCACGUGGACCUUCCCGGUCAUCGCCCUCCCCAUCAACCUGUACAUUUCCUACCUCGGCUUCCGGUUCUACAGGGACGCGGACCGGAAGAGCUCCCGGAAGCUGUUCUUCUGCAGCCUCUGGCACCUGCCUCUGUUCCUGCUGCUGAUGCUGACCUGCAAGCGGCCGGCCGGGCGGGGCGACGCCAGGGAGCCUCAGGGCUGACGUCACGCUGUCGUGCGGGAACGGCGAGAAACAUAGGAGACGCACAGGUUGUUUUGUUUUGUUUUUCCUCUCUGCUGUUAGGCAGGAAUAUUUUGGUAAUCUGAAAACACCAAGAGAGAAAUCGCAGGGUUUGGGACAAGGUUGUAACAUAAUUGGUGCUCAGGGCUCGCUCAACAACUUUUGUAAAUGGUGAUAUCCAAAAUGCUCCCCAUUAGGACUGCGUUGACUCGGUCGAUUAACACAAGGAGUGGUUAACCCCUUUGCGGGUCGUUAUGGAGCUCUCGCGCCAGCCCCACCCUGUCUGCUCAUCCUCUCCCUCAGGUAGAAGUGCAGGUGAGCCUUUCCUGGUCCCUCCACACAUACUCCCCACCUGCCAGCCAGACAAGGUGCGAGCUCACACUGUGGUAUCUGUGGUUCUGUGGCCUCCGGUCCCUGCUGGGACAGCCCCCCUUGUUGUGAAUGAGCCAGGGCCCCUCUUUCUGCUCCCUUCGCCCCACACCUCCUCAGCCUGACCAUCCCUCAGACAAAACCACGGAUGUGCUGCCGCUCGGCCUUGGCAGGAAGAAUUCCAAACGGUUGCCCAGGGAACCUCAGGCUGGACCGCCAGCCCCCCCACCCCAGACCCCCAACCCCGACCUGUCAGCUUUCAGAAACUCCAAGCAAUCAAAGGCAUCUUUAAAGUUCGCUUUACUAUAUAGGAGGUAUCAGAGCAUUUCUUUCUGGAAGGGUCUCUCUCGACUUAAAACCAGAAAUCCCUCCAGCUCUGAUCCAUCAAUUCCUCUUUAUUCACGACUGUGGUUGUCGGCUUCUCUUUGCUGCAAGGCUCUGAGGCCAAAGGAGAAGGGGAAUCAGAAAAGGGUGAGCAGGGCCAGCCAGCCCACGCAGCUCACGUUCCUGUCCCUUUAGUGGAAAGCACAUUUCCAUCCUUCUAUCUUCUGAAUUCAGAAAUGAGCCUUCACGUGUCCAGUGGCUUUGAGAGCCAGAAGCAGGUGCUGGCCCCCUGUGGGGGUGCUCCUGGUCCUGGGAGGGGUGGGUCCCCGCAGCCAGGUGUGCCUCCAUCCCUCAGGCUUCACGUCCGUCCCCUCAUCCACUCUCCACUCCCACUUGCCUGAAGGUCUUGAAGCUUAACAGGAUGUUUUCAUUACUCAGGCUCCAGGGGCAUGGCUGCCCUGGAAGGAAUUCAUUCGGGGAGUUUAAGCAACACUUAGGCAGUCAUUGCAGUAUGCCUGUUCUCUCACAACUCCCCAAAACAAUGCAGUUAGUAUCUGAUGUCUGUUUCCACUUACCUGAAACACUCUCUCUUGGCCGUGUCCAGAUGGCACUGUGGGAAGUGACACAGGCAUGUCGUGGGGGGCAGGGGGUUGGGGGGCGGCACCCGCAGCCCUCAGAUUUGUAAAGCGCAUCGGUUCUCUUUUCCUGCUGCAAUAAACCAGCCCCUCAGAACC
rnacentral:lncRNA from 1 species